CGUUCCCCACCUCCCCUCCUCUCCUCUCUGUUGUCUGUUCUUCGGCGCGGCGGUGUGGGACGGCGGAGCUGCAGCGGACGACGACCACUAGGUGGGGAGGGCCAGCGCGGCGGUGUGGGAGGGCGGAGCUGCAGUGGACCGCGACCACUAGGCGGGGGUGGCCGGCGCGGCGGUGUGGGAGGGCGGAGCUGCAGUGGACCGCGACCACUAGGCGGGGGUGGCCGGCGCGGCGAUGUGGGAGGGCGGAGCUGCAGCGGACCGCGACCACUAGGCGGGGUUGGCGGGCAAAAUCCGCAGGCAGCAGUUUCUGGAUUGAGGGCUACUUCAAGUUGGGCCUUUUGUUUGGAUUCUUUUCUAAAAGUUAAUAUUGUGUAAGAAGUGUUAAGAGCAUUGUCUUAGUAUUAUGGAAGAUCAAAGCAAAAGUGGCCCUAGUUCUUCGAAUGUGAACACAGGGGGAGGCGGACUCUACACGACGAAGAGCACAACUAUACAAAUAUCUCGAAAACAUGAAUAUAUGAUGAAGAGCAGUAACCCUAUAGAGGAAGAAGCAAGAAAAAGUUGUCGGAACAAAAUGAACAGGAUUUGCAGACUAAAACUGCGAGCAGUUGGUGGACCAUGCAAAUGUUUACAUAUCUGAAAGGAAAGUAUAAAGAGAUCCAGAUACUACUCACUGUUCCAAUUUGGAAGGGAAGGCUGAAAUUGUUCAAGGUUGAGAAGAGAAAUGAAUGAACUGUGGAAGACAGUUUUUCUAUCAGGAAACAACAACCUGCAGUUUUUCUAUCACAUACAGCAGGAUUCAGUGCAUAUUGUUGGUGGUCAUUUGGGCAUUAAUGGAAAUAUGAAAUGCAAGUGUGGAAUUUCUCAGCAUGCUUCCUACAGCAAGACAUUUUUUUUCUGGAAGGUUUUCAAGAAGUAACUGAGAUUUGUUUGUCGUUGGCUCAUUUUGUGAAUGGAAAUGGGCGAUGAAGAAAAGUUUGUGAAGUUGGUUUGGCACGUCUCCUAAGGUACAUAAGAGGAAGAGGAAGAGAAGCUCAAUCAGUCUUGGCGGGGCAGGGCAAAAGAAGCAAAAGAAAAGACGAGUAAAAAGAGGUCAAAAGGGCAAAACAAAGAGACAAACUAAGAAAAAAUACAAGAAAGGAGACGAAAAAGAAGGUGUGGUGCUUACAUUUAAUGUAACGGACGACCCACUUGUCAUGGACUCAGACGACUUCUUUGAUAAGUAUAUUAGCAAUGGAAGCGAGACAGAUUCGCCGCAGAGUGUGGGUGUUCUACCCAACCCCCACAAUCUUGUGUGGUGCUGUGUAAUAGAUUCAGCUUUGUUUUUCUCUUCACGUUUGUCCUGUUACGACUAUUAUUAAAAACUAGCAGGGUGACCCGUACAUUUGCGUGGCUAGAUUUGUUAUGCUGACAUUAUAUUUAUUCAUUUAUUUUCAUUAUUUUAUUAGCUUUGAUAUUUGUUUGGACAUGAGGUGCAGGUUUAUAAUAAUAUAAAAGCAUCUUGGAGUGUAA